GACAGCUGGCCUCUGCUAAACUAUUUGCAGAGGAGAAGGUUGUUGAAGAAAUUUCUUUGAGGAAAGGUAUUUCACUUGGCGCAGCGCAUAACUUGCUAUCCCAGGAAGAAAGACGAUGACAUCAUUU